ACACCCUCUAAAUCUAUCAACUUUUUUACAUGUGUAAAAAACAUUCUACACUUUGAAGUUACAAUUUUGUAACCAAAAUGGCAAGCAAACUUAGAUUCUUCAAGCUUCUGUUUUGGGCUUAUCUUUUGCUUCACAUUGGAAGUGGAGAAAGAUGUGAAAAAAAUGCUCCAAGCCUAAAGCAGACACAAACCGGGUUCGGGAAGCCACCAACGUACACCGUGGAGGUCCAAAACACUUGCCCGACGUGCCCGGUGAUCGAUGUUCAUAUCAAAUGUGGCAAUUUUUCUCAAAGUCUGGUGGACCCAAGGAUAUUCAAAGUGUUGGGUCACAACAAUUGUGUGAUUAAUAGUGGUUCACCUAUGGAGCCUCUUGAAAAAGUGACUUUUAAAUACACACAUUCCAUGUAUGUAUUGAAUCCUUCUACUUGGUACUAUCAAUGAAACAAGUUGAGGGACUAAUGCUGCCAAGAUGGAAAGAUAAAGAGGAGGACCAGUUGUGAAAAAAAUAGAAGAUGGAGGAUGCAAAAGAGGAAGCUGGGUUCUAUAUAAACAAAGGAUGAUCCAUGCCGUUUUAUAUUACCGUUAUCAGUUUCUUCUUCAAUGUAAAUCAUUAUGUCAAAGUUUGUUCUAUUUUGAUGUAAUAUUUUCA